rnacentral:rRNA from 1 species
CCUACGGGCGGCUGCAGUGGGGAAUAUUGGACAAUGGGGGGAACCCUGAUCCAGCCAUGCCGCGUGUGUGAAGAAGGCCCUCGGGUUGUAAAGCACUUUCAGUGAGGAAGAACGCCUGGUGGUUAAUACCCAUCAGGAAAGACAUCACUCACAGAAGAAGCACCGGCUAACUCCGUGCCAGCAGCCGCGGUAAUACGGAGGGUGCGAGCGUUAAUCGGAAUUACUGGGCGUAAAGCGCGCGUAGGUGGCUUGAUAAGCCGGUUGUGAAAGCCCCGGGCUCAACCUGUGAACGGCAUCCGGAACUGUCAAGCUAGAGUGCAGGAGAGGAAGGUAGAAUUCCCGGUGUAGCGGUGAAAUGCGUAGAGAUCGGGAGGAAUACCAGUGGCGAAGGCGGCCUUCUGGACUGACACUGACACUGAGGUGCGAAAGCGUGGGUAGCAAACAGGAUUAGAUACCCGAGUAGUC